GCAGGUGUGGUGGAAUGGCAGACACGCUAUCUUGAGGGGGUAGUGUUCACAUGGACGUACGGGUUCAAGUCCCGUCACCUGCACCA
rnacentral:tRNA from 7 species